UACGAGGGGGGGCAAGCGUUGUUCGGAAUUAUUGGGCGUAAAGGGCGCGUAGGCGGUUUGACAAGUCUGAUGUGAAAUCUCUGGGCUCAACCCAGAGUCUGCAUUAGAAACUGUCGGGCUUGAGUAUGGGAGAGGUGAGUGGAAUUUCCGGUGUAGCGGUGAAAUGCGUAGAUAUCGUCAAGAACACCGAUAGCGAAGGCAGCUUACUAAGCAGUAACUGACGCUGAUGCACGAAAGUGUGGGGAUCAAACAGG
rnacentral:rRNA from 1 species